rnacentral:rRNA from 1 species
UAAAAAAUAAUUGUUUAAAGGGUUUGAUUCUGGCUCAGUAAGCAAGCGUAUAGAAUGGAUUAUACAUGCAAGUUUUCUAGUUUCUAGAAAGCGUAUUGGUGAGUAAUUAUGUGAGAUGAU